AACCAGCUACUGCAGAUGAGUCACCUAUUUUGUGUGGUUGGUGCGUUAUAGGUUAUGCAUAUAUUGCGUGGAUGGCGCGGGUAGGUUCUAUUACACCCACGUUUUAAUACAGUCCCUCGCAGUGACGUAGAAAAGAGCAAUGUGUGUGAGUCAGAACAACUAGGAAAUCCCCCAGUGAGAGUUACGACAGAAGGUGCUGUUCCUUUAAGCGGAGACUUCCUAAAACAAGCACGACAAGAAAGGAGCAGAUAAACAACAACUGCCGGGGGUAGAAUAACCUCGAAAAGACCGUUUACCGGGAUUAAUCUUGUUCAUACAAACGACGGAUCUUUAAGGUGUGUCCGAGCACAAUUUCUGCUGAUUUUGCAUAUCAAAAAUCCCAGAACACUGUUGAAAGCCAUUGCGGAAGUAAACCCAACCUCGACGUGAGAAGAGAGAAUAGGGGGCCACCAAGUGGACUCAACGGAGAAAUACUGCGCGCGACCUUCUGUAUGGGAGAGAUGUACGGAUCGUCAGGAAUGCCAGAUCUGAUUCCAUCGAAUGGCCCGCGACAGCCUGGUCCGGCCGGCCAGUUCAACCCGGGGCAUAGGCAGGUAGCACAGAAUGGGCAUGAGAGGCCCAACCCCCAGAGACUAGGGCAGCGGGCGCCCAAGCUCGGACAAAUUGGUCGUUCCAAGAAAGUGGACCUAGGGGAUGAGGACGUGGAUGACAUCAUGAAUAAUAAUGGCCAAUAAAAAUGUUCCGUGUCCCUCAACCUCUCACCCAUCUCCUAAACCACACCACAUGUGCCAAUGAAGAUCUUCGAAGCCAAACUCACUGAAUCCAUUUGACCUUGAUCAAUCAACUUUACAAGUGACCUCCCCUGAAGCUUGGCCUAGGAUAUCAUAGCUGAAAAGCUCAUCGUGGCACAUUGAGGGACAGUUCUAUUGCCGGAAUUCUAGACAUUAGUUCUAGACAUUAAUUUUAGGAUUCUAUAGACCUUUGCAUCAAAAGCUUGUAUAUUGCGGUUAACUUGUCUGUUGUUAUACUGUGAAUGAAUUGUACUGAAACUUGUUCUGCUCUUAUUACCUCUGUAGUGGACUAUCUGCACUUGGGAAAGUACAGUGUGGCUUGUCUUUAAAGCUUCUAAAGGGCUACAUUUGAAAAAAGUUGCACUCUUUAAAUGAUAAGGUAAAAUGAAAUGGAGUAGGAGUGCUGAUCUAGGAUCAGGUCCCCACUUGUCUAUAGAAUCUUAUUUAAUAUCAUCUAAAAGGCAAGUCUGAUCUUAGAUCAGCACACAGAGGCUAUGAAUACAGUUUUCUUCUUGGUUACUGAUUUUACAAGGUGGAUGUUGUGUAGAAGAAGGCAGGACGAAAGCCUGUUAACAUGUAACGUACAGGUGGAACAUUGAGUUACUGACAGUUGUGAUUUAAUCUAAAUCUGUGGUUCUCUCACCUUGUGGUAUCAGGUUACUGCUGAAUGAUCACUGUUUUGGAAUGCAUGGACAGUUGGAAAAGGUUACUACUGAUCAUUUAUAUUUACAAAAAAAAUAUUGUUUUGGUUUAUUACCUUGUUUUAAAUCAAUUAUGGAUGGCUAUUAUUUUCCAGCACAUUUUUUUUUAGAGUUGAUAUAAUAUAUGGUUUAUGUUGUUUUUCGUAUGUUAUUGCGUAAUGGUGCACUUUGUGGGAAUGACUGUUAAAUAUGUGACGAUGAAACUUUACAUAUUUCUAUGCACGGAUUCUAUUUAAGCAUCAACAAGUCGGGGUAUACUUCCUGUCCAGAAGGGCUACUUUCUUCUUCGUUUAAAUGUUUUUUAUCAUAAAGGCUGAGGCCCAAACGGCACCCUAUUCCCUACAUAAGUCCUAUGGGCCAUAGUCAAAAGUAGUGCACUAUAUAGGGAAUAGGGUGCCGUUUGGGACACAUUUAAUAUUUCAUGUGGACUAUAAGGACAAUGUUGACCUAACUAAUGCCUGUAACUUUCUUGUACACUGGUCACUACUUUCAGUGAAACAUUGCAUUUCACAGCAUAGCUAAUAGUGACGCUGUCAUGAUCACAUGGCUUAAAUGGAUGGAAUUGUUAUGUGCAUUGGGAAUGUUUGCAUGAAAAUGUGAUUUUUGCAUAAUAAUUCAUUAUUGGUAAUAAAGGAGGGAAGAGCUUUUCUUUUUUUAA